UCAGUCAAUGUAGAGACACGCUCUGUGUCACAAAGAACUGGCUGUCCGCUGAUACUAAAGAAGAGCGUAACCUUUGGAUGCAAAAGCUCAACCAAGUUCUUGUCGACCUUCGCAUGUGGCAGCCCGAUGCCUGCUACAAACCUAUUGGAAAGCUUUAAACAAUGUAAGGGAAAUAUUGAGAAAAUACCUGAAAAAAUCCCAGGAACUGCAC